rnacentral:tRNA from 1 species
CCUUCGAUAGCUCAGUUGGAAGAGCGCGAGACUGUAAUCGGUUAGCACAGCCACAUCUUGAGGUCGCUGGUUCGAUCCCGGCUCGAAGGA